rnacentral:rRNA from 1 species
GUCCACGCCGUAACGAUGGAUACUAGCUGUUCGGAGCAAUCUGAGUGGCUAAGCGAAAGUGAUAAGUAUCCCACCUGGGGAGUACGUUCGCAAGAAUGAAACUCAAAGGAAUUGACGGGGCCCGCACAAGCGGUGGAGCAUGUGGUUUAAUUCGAUGAUACGCGAGGAACCUUACCAAGGCUUAAAUGGGAAACGACAGGUUUGGAAACAGACUUUUCUUCGGACGUUUUCAAGGUGCUGCAUGGUUGUCGU